AGGGAUAUAACUCAACGGUAGAGUGUUACCUUGACAUUGUGGAAGUCAUCAAUUUGAGCAUGAUUAUCCCUA
rnacentral:tRNA from 1 species